GGAAUUCCUUGGUCAAGUUGGAUUGUUACCUCCAUUAUAUGUUAGCUUGAUUCUACUUCCAGGGUAAGCAAGGGAACUUGCUUUAAGUUUUAAUGAUAAAGUGUAGCAUCUGGUAGAAGGUUAUAGUCGCUGUCUGCCCUCUACAUGUUCUGAUUUUGUGAGAAAACUUACGCUUUUAGCUAAACAUAAAGUACCUGUCAGUUCAUAUGGGUGUUCUCAACUUAACUAUUAAAUUGGUCCUGGU
rnacentral:misc_RNA from 1 species